CCGCUCCCGCUCCCGCUCCCGCUCCCGCUCCCGCUCCCGCUCCCGCUCCGACCGCCGCCGCGCGGGCCGCGCCCGCCGGGCUCGGUGCCACGGCGACCCUAAGGGUGGGAAAGACCUCGACUAUAUACUCCUAUCCUGUCACUGGUUGUCUGGGAAGUGGGGAAGGGAACACUGCCGUGGUAGUGUCUGAGCGUGGUACACAGUCAUGAAAGUGACGAAGCACAGGACAAAAGGACAAGUUUCAUGCCCUGGCCCAAACAGGAUCAGCCUGUAAUCUAGCACAGAGGCUGGAAUGAUAAAAGCAUGACAUGUGAAGACAUCAAGAUCUGAUUUUAACAGUCAGAUGAAGACUCAUUGGAGGUGUCAGGAAACAGAAAUAUUGAGGGAGUCUUUUGUCCCCUUCAUUAGUCUGCUUGGUGUGUGUGUGCUUCAUGUCCUGUCAUUAGACAGCUUCUGUACAAAUUUCCUUUCUCAUCAUUAAUAUCAUAUCUGCCUUAAGCGGUAUCAGUGACUUCUGCCUGCUUUAUGACUUUUGGAGUCUUCUGCCUUUGAAUCUGUUUUUAUCUCCAUAUUUGCUGAACACUUAAAGCUUCAAAUGAAACAAAUUGAACCUGUUAGAUAUUCAUUACGUCUGGCGAUGACACUCCAUGUUUCUCAGCAGGAGCAAGCAGAAGUAGAGACUCCUUAAAUUUUGAGUGCAAAUGACUUUGAUCAAAGUUAUAUGACAAGAUAAGGAAGAAGCUUGUAACAGAAUCCAAAAAUAUCAGUGCCUAGUCACUUAAAAUAAAUCAAUUUGAGAGCUUGUAUGAAUAAACUCUUGACACUGCUGACUUUAAGAAACAAAAUGCAAAAAGGAAAAUGAGUACAGAGGAAAUUAUAAAUGUAUAUUCCUCAGAAAUAAAUUCUUUCAUUAAACAGAGAGUUAAAUGCUUUUGAAAGUAGUCUGUCACAUCUG